rnacentral:rRNA from 1 species
AUUGAGCGCUGGCGGUCUGCUUAACACAUGCAAGUCGAACGGUAACAUUUCUAGCUUGCUAGAAGAUGACGAGUGGCGGACGGGUGAGUAACGCGUAGGGAUCUACCCAGCUGCGGGGGAUAGCCCGGUGAAAACCGGAUUAAUACCGCAUACGACCUUCGGGUGAAAGGUUGCCUCUCCUUGGAAGCAAUCACAGUUGGAUGAACCUGCGUCAGAUUAGCUAGUUGGUGGGGUAAAGGCCUACCAAGGCGACGAUCUGUAGCUGGUCUGAGA